UACAUGGGGUGCAAACGUUGCUCGGAAUUAUUGGGCGUAAAGCGCACGUAGGCGGUUCGUUAAGUCGGAUGUGAAAGCCCUCGGCUCAACUGAGGAAGUGCACCCGAAACUGGCGAGCUUGAGUACGAAAGAGGAUCGCGGAAUUCCCGGUGUAGAGGUGAAAUGCGUAGAUAUCGGGAGGAACACCUGUGGCGAAAGCGGCGCACUGGACCACAUCUGACGCUCAGGCACGAAAGCGUGGGGAGCAAACAGG
rnacentral:rRNA from 1 species